AGAGUUUGAUCCUGGCUCAGGACGAACGCUGGCGGCGUGCUUAACACAUGCAAGUCGAACGGAAAGGCCCUUCGGGGUACUCGAGUGGCGAACGGGUGAGUAACACGUGGGUGAUCUGCCCUGCACUUUGGGAUAAGCCUGGGAAACUGGGUCUAAUACCGAAUAUGACCAUGCACUUCCUGGUGUGUGGUGGAAAGCUUUUGCGGUGUGGGAUGGGCCCGCGGCCUAUCAGCUUGUUGGUGGGGUAAUGGCCUACCAAGGCGACGACGGGUAGCCGGCCUGAGAGGGUGACCGGCCACACUGGGACUGAGAUACGGCCCAGACUCCUACGGGAGGCAGCAGUGGGGAAUAUUGCACAAUGGGCGCAAGCCUGAUGCAGCGACGCCGCGUGAGGGAUGACGGCCUUCGGGUUGUAAACCUCUUUCAGCACAGACGAAGCGCAAGUGACGGUAUGUGCAGAAGAAGGACCGGCCAACUACGUGCCAGCAGCCGCGGUAAUACGUAGGGUCCGAGCGUCGUCCGGAAUUACUGGGCGUAAAGAGCUCGUAGGUGGUUUGUCGCGUUGUUCGUGAAAACUCACAGCUUAACUGUGGGCGUGCGGGCGAUACGGGCAGACUUGAGUACUGCAGGGGAGACUGGAAUUCCUGGUGUAGCGGUGGAAUGCGCAGAUAUCAGGAGGAACACCGGUGGCGAAGGCGGGUCUCUGGGCAGUAACUGACGCUGAGGAGCGAAAGCGUGGGGAGCGAACAGGAUUAGAUACCCUGGUAGUCC
rnacentral:rRNA from 1 species